UACGUAGGUGACCAGCGUUGUCCGGAUUUACUGGGCGUAAAGAGCGCGCAGGCGGUCGUUCAAGUCGAGUGUGAAAGCCCCCGGCUCAACUGGGGAGGGUCAUUCGAUACUGAUCGACUCGAAGGCAGGAGAGGGAAGCGGAAUUCCCGGUGUAGUGGUGAAAUGCGUAGAUAUCUGAAGGAACAUCAGUGGCGAAAGCGACUUCCUGGACCAAUACUGACGCUCAGGUGCGAAAGCGUGGGGAGCAAACAGG
rnacentral:rRNA from 1 species